rnacentral:rRNA from 1 species
UGUGUAGGCGGCUACGUAAGUCGGAUGUGAAAGCCCCGGGCUCAACCUGGGAAGUGCACUCGAUACUGCGUAGCUUGAGUCUCGGAGAGGUUGGUGGAAUUCUCGGUGUAGAGGUGAAAUUCGUAGAUAUCGAGAGGAACACCGGUGGCGAAGGCGGCCAACUGGACGAAGACUGACGCUGAGACACGAAAGCGUGGGGAGCAAACA